CAGAUACGGUUGCGGAGAGAGAGACUUGUGGCUGACAGUCUUUACGUGUGGAUUAUGUUGCGAAGAUAGUGAAGAUUCCAGUUAGCCAUUGCAUAUGACACUUCAUUUGCCUUAGGUGAAGGAAUUCGUGACAACAGUGCAACAGGAGGGGAUGGUGGACUGAUGAAAGCGCCAAAGGUUCUUGCAGACAUUAUGGGGUUGGUAAUGGGUCUGUAUAUUUGGAUUGCGCUUUUGAUGUGAAUGCUUUCUGGGUGGUCAGUUUCUUUCUUACUAUUUAAGUAUGUGUUGGCCAUGGAUCUUAUAAGAACUCAAUUUUGUUUUCCGUUCUGGAUUGAGAUUACUAGUGUAUUAAUCAACUACAACUCAAUCCCAAAAGUUAGGUUGGGUAUAUGAAUUCUCUUACUUAUUUCUCUAGAUUUCUAUUAUAACUUGAAAAUAAUUAUGCAGAAUUAAAGAGUUGAGUUUCGCCGGCUUAUUGGCUAUUAGUAAGUGUAUAUAAUUUACAGCCUUAGUGCUAGCAUACAAGGGGCUUUAAUUGUUAUUUAUCGAACCCAUUUUCAUGCAAAGCUAGUUAUCCUAGCAAACCUUUCAUCAAAUUGUCUCAAGCCAUACACCUGUUUCAUGUUUUAGUGACUUUUGCUGCAAGCAAAGUGGUAUCUGAGUAGUCAUUAUGUAUGCUUUUUAAUUUUCGGAGGUAAAACUUCUUUCCUCUAGAAACGUGUUGUGUGUUAUUCACCAAUCGCAGUUGGAUGUACUGGGGCGAGGAGAGGCAGAUGUAGGCCGAGGAAGUAUUGGGAAGAGGUGAUUAGAUAGGAUUUGACUCAUCUUCAGCUUAUCGAGACAUGACUUUAGAUAGGAGGAUAUGGAGGUCGCAUAUAAGGAUUGAAGGUUGGUAGUUAGUGUAUGUUGUCUUAGUAUUAGUCUAUUCUUGUAGAGUUUGUAGUCUUUAGCUUAGUGAUAGUCUAGAGCGCCAUGUCUGAUGUCUAUCGUAUGAUUAGCUACUCAUGUAGUCUUUGGAUUUUGGUCCAUGUGAUCAUUUGUUAUUUACUAUAUUUAAGUGGUCGCACCUUAUUAGAUGUUAUAAAUUCUUUGUAUAUAUUCUCCACAUUGCUCUCAUAUUAGUUGUCAUGUUUUUCUUCACUGCCAUUUUUCCUUUCAAUUAGUACUUCGAUUUGCUUCUCUUGAGUCGAGGGUCUUUCGAAAACUGUCUCUCUACUUUCAAGAGGUAGAGGUAAGUUCUACGCACACACUAUCCUCCCCAGACCCCACUUUGAGGGAAUUCACUGGGUAUGUUGUAUUAAAUCACUACUUAAUAUGAAACGAACGAAACGGAGCUAGUAAUGAAAUGCUUGAACCACAGUUAAAAUUCAAAAUGCAACAAGUAUGUUUAGGAAAUAAAUGGUAGUAGUACUUAGCACUUCCGGUCUAUG